AUAAACCGCUGCUGGAGCUGGCUGCAAG
rnacentral:sRNA from 1 species